rnacentral:rRNA from 1 species
GAUGAACGCUGGCGGCGUGCCUAAUACAUGCAAGUCGAGCGAACAGACGAGGAGCUUGCUCCUCUGAUGUUAGCGGCGGACGGGUGAGUAACACGUGGAUAACCUACCUAUAAGACUGGGAUAACUUCGGGAAACCGGAGCUAAUACCGGAUAAUAUUUUGAACCGCAUGGUUCAAUAGUGAAAGACGGUUUUGCUGUCACUUAUAGAUGGAUCCGCGCUGCAUUAGCUAGUUGGUAAGGUAACGGCUUACCAAGGCAACGAUGCGUAGCCGACCUGAGAGGGUGAUCGGCCACACUGGAACUGAGACACGGUCCAGACUCCUACGGGAGGCAGCAGUAGGGAAUCUUCCGCAAUGGGCGAAAGCCUGACGGAGCAACGCCGCGUGAGUGAUGAAGGUCUUCGGAUCGUAAAACUCUGUUAUUAGGGAAGAACAAAUGUGUAAGUAACUAUGCACAUCUUGACGGUACCUAAUCAGAAAGCCACGGCUAACUACGUG